UGGGAGACUGACUUGUCUGCAAAUCCUCAGCAUUUGCUCUGCAAGUUGCAGUGAAACAUGCAAAAGUGCAGUGCAAACAAUGAAAAGCAAAGGUAAAGUUGUGCCUUACUGCUACAACCAACAUAUUUCAAAAGAUUCAACUAUUACUUUGAAGAUGAUCGUGCCAUCGGUGCCAAUUUACAUUCUCUGAGGCUAGUUUAGUCUCUCUGGUGCCACCAUAUGGCCACUGGCAUCACUCUUGUCCCGAGGCUUGCAUUAAUGAAUUCAAUAAAUAAAGUGCCACACCAACC